AAUUCUUCUACAUCUUGUACUGCAUUAUUCAAAGAGUGAAGUUCCAUUUGCAUCACACAUGGAAGUUAAGGGACAAUUAAGACAUACGAAGAGGAAAUCCCUAAACCAAAAAACCCUUAUCAUUGUCGUUGUUUUGAGCAUAAAGAUCUGCAGACUAGCACUAGCGAGCAUCAGAGGAAAUAUCCAGGGACCGAGAGCAUCAGAUAAUGUCACAAUAGCUUCUCUGCCAAUUACCAGCUGAAAUAUUCAACACAAGGUAUGCAUUUCAUCAGUAUCUGUUUAGUGACCUUUAUUGUUAGAAUACGAUGCAUCCGGACUAUAAAUUUGAGUGCAAAGAUAAUUUUAGUUAACGACAAAGUGAAUGAAGUAUAAGAAGAGCUUAUGUGGAUCAUAUAGUAUUCUAACAUGUUUCCGAAAAAUUGCAGGAUGGAGAUCACUGGGGCAUUCUGUUCAGUUUACUUGUUGCAGCCUCUGGUCUGUACUAAGCAAAAUCUUAAGCAAAUACAAGGAAAAUAAAACACCAUAGAAUUCACAAGCAACAGUUUUGUACACAUUAGUUUUGCAUGAUUUAUAAAAGGCGAAUGG
rnacentral:lncRNA from 1 species